GAUGAACGCUAGCUACAGGCUUAACACAUGCAAGUCGAGGGGAAACGAUAGAGAAAGCUUGCUUUUUCUAGGCGUCGACCGGCGCACGGGUGAGUAACGCGUAUCCAACCUGCCCAUCACUUGGGGAUAACCUUGCGAAAGUAAGACUAAUACCCAAUGACGUCUCUAGAAGACAUCUGAAAGAGAUUAAAGAUUUAUCGGUGAUGGAUGGGGAUGCGUCUGAUUAGCUUGUUGGCGGGGUAACGGCCCACCAAGGCGACGAUCAGUAGGGGUUCUGAGAGGAAGGUCCCCCCACAUUGGAACUGAGACACGGUCCAAACUCCUACGGGAGGCAGCAGUGAGGAAUAUUGGUCAAUGGACGAGAGUCUGAACCAGCCAAGUAGCGUGCAGGAAGACGGCCCUAUGGGUUGUAAACUGCUUUUAUAAGGGAAUAAAGUGAGUCUCGUGAGACUUUUUGCAUGUACCUUAUGAAUAAGGACCGGCUAAUUCCGUG
rnacentral:rRNA from 1 species